GCGGGGGUGAGGAGCGCGCGCCUGGAGGUGUAAACGGUGUUUAACCAGCAAGCACCCUGACUGGUGAGCCUGGUCCUUUAAAGGGAAGUAAUCACCACAUUUGAGCCCCUGUAUCCAUUAAAAACACUUCCUAGAGAAUUAAACAAACGUUCCUUCCAUGUUUUUAUAGUUGUUUCUGAUGACUACUCUUCAUAAAACAGGUUAUAAAACGUCCCGCGCUGUCCCCGGGGCAGUGCGGCUUUGCAUGUGGUCACCGUGCCCAGGGCAGUAAUCACACCCUCCUGUCCUGCACCCGCCUACACGGGGGUGAUACACAGCCUGGGCACUGAGGGCUCUUCUCUCCCGCAGGCCCGGAAUCAUAACAAGCUCGGGGCAUAGCAAGUCCUAGUGUCUGCAGGCUUCGCCUCUGGGUCCUAGCGCCUCCAGAUUCCUCCUCUCCUCAGCAGUGAGGGCAGCCUCGGACUUCAGCAGCUGAUCAGCAGGGACAGACUAUUUAGGAAGAAAGUGCUGAACAGCUUUUCCUUUCACUUCAGCUCCCUGCUGUUCUGGAGUUCCUGGUGGGAGGCCCUACUGGAGCCAAUGAUUGACUGCAGCAUUCCAUGCUUAGUCUGCAGGGACAUCAUUGCAGCAGCUCUGCUGGGGACUCCUAAGUAGGGGCAGCAGAGGAUCAACAUGGGAUCUGUUUCCAUAAGCAAAUGGAAACAAACAAAGCAAUUAAUGAAUGUAGCAGCUGAACUGUUAUUGGAAAUGGAAUUUACUGCAUGAAUAUGAACAUAGUGAAGAACAGAAAAAGUCAAGGCAACCUUUUCUUAUUCAUCAUAUACAGAGUAUAUAUUACUAUACUUCUGUAGUCAAGUUUAAAAUGAUGGUUAUUAUAUUAAAUGCCAAUUGUCUACUGCACAGGAUUUUAGGGUCUAAAUAUCUGGUACUGUAUGUUAAAAGAGCACUCACCUGUGGCAUUCACUAGCAUAUUUAAACAUGAAAUGCAAGACUGCAAUUUGUACUAUAAGCUAAAAAUAUUCAUGUA